rnacentral:lncRNA from 1 species
AUGCUCCUGGCCCCCAGGCAGGAUGUCAAAGCUUCUGAUUACCAUGCAGGGAAUCCAACAUUUGUUCUGCCAAGCUUCGAAAACACAAACAAAUCCAUAAAAAGUGGUCUGUACAUAAAAGUGUGUGUUUUUUUGAAAGUCUGUAGUCUGGACACAAUAUAUUGAGUUUUAAAUGCAUAUUUGUACUGUAACAGAAUAUAAUAGUGAUGCAGUCGCAAUAUGAAUUGUGGAAUAGCUCACACAGGAGAGAUAAUGUAUGCUCAGCCUGUUUUCUCAGCAGACGGUUUGAAAUCCUAUAACAAAUGAUUGGUCAUUCUCAUCUCCAUGUUUAGCUGUCACAUUCGUCUUGCAAUAAUUUUUAACUAGACUUUCUGAUUGUCGUCAAAUUCAUUACAUCAAUCAGUCUUACUCUUUUACUUUUUUUAUUAAGGAAAAGGAUUACAGACAGGAAAGCAGAGGUGAUAGAAAUGGGAAUGGGAUCUGGACAUAACUCAAGUUGGAUUAAAACAAUCAUUUUGUUUAGCAAGUAAUGAAUUCUUACUGACAUGUAGUUGACAUUAUAAACUGUUAGCUUGUUAUGUUUGUGAUGGAGUAGAAUGAUUUUGGCAUAAAACACAGAUGAUACUCACCGAUCAUAUAUACCAACACAGAACAUUUCCCAACAUUAGUGCAUGAAUCUUGCUAGACAGUUUUUUUUUAACCAGUUCUUUUGUAGUUUUGUUUUCUUUAACAAAAACAAAUGUUCCCAGAACAAUCUUGAUGUGUCAUUGCAGGUGCUGUGGUGUAUUUACAGUAUGUAUGUUUUUUUUUUUUAUUAGUUUUUUAUAUAGCCCAUUUACCACUGAAAGUCCUGAACGUUUAACCUAUGUUUAAGUAUCUUAAGAGCCCGAGGCAGAAAAUCCCUUGUUAAGACGAGCUUUUCUUCCAGGGGUCUUAAUAGAGGAUUAGAGGAAUCCUCUGGCCAGAGCAGUCAUCUGAAAUUUAAUCCACCUUGCAAGAUUGCCUUUAAUUGUCAUAACCUGACAGAACGGAACAACAGAGACUGAUGUAAAGCUCUAA